AGCUUUCUGUAUCCGUGCUGAGGUUUCGUCACACACCAGACCACAAGGGCUGAUGAGACUUCCAAGAUAAGUGA
rnacentral:pre_miRNA from 1 species